rnacentral:rRNA from 1 species
GAUGAACGCUAGCGGCAGGCUUAACACAUGCAAGUCGAGGGGUAUAGUUCUUCGGAGCUAGAGACCGGCGCACGGGUGCGUAACGCGUAUGCAAUCUACCUUUUACAGAGGGAUAGCCCAGAGAAAUUUGGAUUAAUACCUCAUAGUAUGUGAGAAUCGCAUGGUUUUCACAUUAAAGUCACAACGGUAAAAGAUGAGCAUGCGUCCCAUUAGCUUGUUGGUAAGGUAACGGCUUACCAAGGCAACGAUGGGUAGGGUCCGUGAGAGGGAGAUCCCCACACUGGUACUGAGACACGGACCAGACUCCUACGGGAGGCAGCAGUGAGGAAUAUUGGACAAUGGGCGCAAGCCUGAUCCAGCCAUGCCGCGUGCAGGAUGACGGUCCUAGUGG